CUUCGGGAAACCGGAGCUAAUACCGGAUAAUAUUUUGAACCGCAUGGUUCAAAAGUGAAAGACGGUCUUGCUGUCACUUAUAGAUGGAUCCGCGCUGCAUUAGCUAGUUGGUAAGGUAACGGCUUACCAAGGCAACGAUGCAUAGCCGACCUGAGAGGGUGAUCGGCCACACUGGAACUGAGACACGGUCCAGACUCCUACGGGAGGCAGCAGUAGGGAAUCUUCCGCAAUGGGCGAAAGCCUGACGGAGCAACGCCGCGUGAGUGAUGAAGGUCUUCGGAUCGUAAAACUCUGUUAUUAGGGAAGAACAUAUGUGUAAGUAACUGUGCACAUCUUGACGGUACCUAAUCAGAAAGCCACGGCUAACUACGUGCCAGCAGCCGCGGUAAUACGUAGGUGGCAAGCGUUAUCCG
rnacentral:rRNA from 1 species